rnacentral:rRNA from 1 species
CGCAGCCGCGGUAAUUCCAGCUCCAAUAGCGUAUAUUAAAGUUGUUGCAGUUAAAAAGCUCGUAGUUGAAUUUCGGGGUUAGUAGGUUGGUCAUGCCUCUGGUAUGUACUGGUCUCACUGAUUCCUCCUUCCUGAUGAGCCGUAAUGCCAUUAAUUUGGUGUUGCGGGGAAUUUGGACUGUUACUUUGAAAAAUUAGAGUGUUUAAAGCAAGCUAACGCUUGAAUACAUUAGCAUGGAAUAAUGAAAUAGGACGUUCGAUCCUAUUUUGUUGGUUUCUAGGAUUGACAUAAUGAUUAAUAGGGAUAGUUGGGGGCAUUAGUAUUCAAUUGUCAGAGGUGAAAUUCUUGGAUUUAUUGAAGACUAACUACUGCGAAAGCAUUUGCCAAGGAUGUUUUCAUUAAUCAAGAACGAAAGUUAGGGGAUCGAAGACGAUCAAAUACCGUCGUAGU